rnacentral:rRNA from 1 species
GACGAACGCUGGCGGCGUGCUUAACACAUGCAAGUCGAACGGAAAGGCCUGCUUUCCCUUGUGGAUUGCGGGUACUCGAGUGGCGAACGGGUGAGUAACACGUGAGUGAUCUGCCCCCAACUUGGGUAUAAGCCUGGGAAACUGGGUCUAAUUCCCGAUAGGACUGCAGGGUGGUGCCUGUGGUGGAAAACGAUUUUCUAGUGGUUGGGGAUGAGCUCGCGGCCUAUCAGCUUGUUGGUGGGGUAAUGGCCUACCAAGGCGGCGACGGGUAGCCGGCCUGAGAGGGUGGACGGCCACAUUGGGGCUGAGAUACGGCCCAGACUCCUACGGGAGGCAGCAGUGGGGAAUAUUGCACAAUGGGCGGAAGCCUGAUGCAGCGACGCCGCGUGGGGGAUGACGGCCUUCGGGUUGUAAACUCCUUUCGACCGCGAGGAAGCCACCUGGUUGGAAGGGUGGUGACGGUAGUGGUAGAAGAAGCACCGGCUAACUACGUG